GGCACUACGGUGCUGAAGCAACAAAUGCCCUGCUUCCAGGAAAAGCCUCUAAGCAUCAGGUAACAUCAAAUCGUACCCCAAACCGACACAGGUGGUCAGGUAGAGAAUACCAAGGCGCUUGAGAGAACUCGGGUGAAGGAACUAGGCAAAAUGGUGCCGUAACUUCGGGAGAAGGCACGCUGAUAUGUAGGUGAAGCGACUUGCUCGUGGAGCUGAAAUCAGUCGAAGAUACCAGCUGGCUGCAACUGUUUAUUAAAAACACAGCACUGUGCAAACACGAAAGUGGACGUAUACGGUGUGACGCCUGCCCGGUGCCGGAAGGUUAAUUGAUGGGGUCAGCGCAAGCGAAGCUCUUGAUCGAAGCCCCGGUAAACGGCGGCCGUAACUAUAACGGUCCUAAGGUAGCGAAAUUCCUUGUCGGGUAAGUUCCGACCUGCACGAAUGGCGUAAUGAUGGCCAGGCUGUCUCCACCCGAGACUCAGUGAAAUUGAACUCGCUGUGAAGAUGCAGUGUACCCGCGGCAAGACGGAAAGACCCCGUGAACCUUUACUAUAGCUUGACACUGAACAUUGAGCCUUGAUGUGUAGGAUAGGUGGGAGGCUUUGAAGUGUGGACGCCAGUCUGCAUGGAGCCGACCUUGAAAUACCACCCUUUAAUGUUUGAUGUUCUAACGUUGACCCGUGAUCCGGGUUGCGGACAGUGUCUGGUGGGUAGUUUGACUGGGGCGGUCUCCUCCUAAAGAGUAACGGAGGAGCACGAAGGUUGGCUAAUCCUGGUCGGACAUCAGGAGGUUAGUGCAAUGGCAUAAGCCAGCUUGACUGCGAGCGUGACGGCGCGAGCAGGUGCGAAAGCAGGUCAUAGUGAUCCGGUGGUUCUGAAUGGAAGGGCCAUCGCUCAACGGAUAAAAGGUACUCCGGGGAUAACAGGCUGAUACCGCCCAAGAGUUCAUAUCGACGGCGGUGUUUGGCACCUCGAUGUCGGCUCAUCACAUCCUGGGGCUGAAGUAGGUCCCAAGGGUAUGGCUGUUCGCCAUUUAAAGUGGUACGCGAGCUGGGUUUAGAACGUCGUGAGACAGUUCGGUCCCUAUCUGCCGUGGGCGCUGGAGAACUGAGGGGGGCUGCUCCUAGUACGAGAGGACCGGAGUGGACGCAUCACUGGUGUUCGGGUUGUCAUGCCAAUGGCACUGCCCGGUAGCUAAAUGCGGAAGAGAUAAGUGCUGAAAGCAUCUAAGCACGAAACUUGCCCCGAGAUGAGUUCUCCCUGACUCCUUGAGAGUCCUGAAGGAACGUUGAAGACGACGACGUUGAUAGGCCGGGUGUGUAAGCGCAGCGAUGCGUUGAGCUAACCGGUACUAAUGAACCGUGAGG
rnacentral:rRNA from 1 species